rnacentral:rRNA from 1 species
UACGUAGGGUGCAAGCGUUAAUCGGAAUUACUGGGCGUAAAGCGUGCGCAGGCGGUUAUGUAAGACAGGUGUGAAAUCCCCGGGCUUAACCUGGGAACUGCAUUUGUGACUGCAUAGCUAGAGUACGGUAGAGGGGGAUGGAAUUCCGCGUGUAGCAGUGAAAUGCGUAGAUAUGCGGAGGAAAACCGAUGGCGAAGGCAAUCCCCUGGACCUGUACUGACGCUCAUGCACGAAAGCGUGGGGAGCAAACAGG